GGUUUCUGUUAACUUUCUAUUCGUUCGAACAUUUUGGAUUUACUUUAAUUAAGUUUGUUCACUUUCGCCCUGAACUCCUUGAAAUAACUGCACUCUAUGUAAUUAUGAAGACAAUUGAUCAUCAUUGGAAAUAUUUGUGAUGUCAUUUAACAAGACCGAAGCAAUACUUUCCUGCUGUUUGUUUACAUUCUUGCAACAACAAUAACAUUGUGAUAAAGCGACUAUCCGUACCUUGGACAAUAUAGAUUUACUUCUUACAUGCAUUACUGAAAGAUGAUACGUUACUAGAUUAUUAUGGUGCACCUUAAGUAGAUUAAUAUUCGAAUCAUAUGGAACAAGUAUAUGUGACCACUGUUUGGAGUUACUAUUUGUACCUGUACUUUUGAGUACAUUUAGUUUGUUGUUUGGAGGUAUUCCAAAGCACUUUUUUACACAGUUAUGACUAAGCGGUGGAUACCAAUAAGAAAAACUAUUCUUUAUAUAGUUGGAUUUGUUGCACACAAUAUAGCAUGGAGCUAAUAAAAAGUGUAAUGGAAUAUUGGUGUUUUCUAAAAAUUGCAAAUUAAAUUUAUUAAAAGUGAUUCUUAAUGGAUAUUUGUUGUGGGUUUUUUUUGUAACAUUGACUGAGAGACUACAUUUGUCACCCAUAACAUAUAUUAUAAUAAAGUAUUUACUUUUUCUUUUA